GAUCGGCCCGCGUCUGAUUAGCUAGUUGGUGAGGUAACGGCUCACCAAGGCUUCGAUCAGUAGCUGGUUUGAGAGAACGACCAGCCACACUGGGACUGAGACACGGCCCAGACUCCUACGGGAGGCAGCAGUGGGGAAUCUUGGACAAUGGGGGCAACCCUGAUCCAGCCAUGCCGCGUGAGUGAUGAAGGCCUUCGGGUUGUAAAACUCUUUUACCAGGGAAGAUAAUGACUGUACCUGGAGAAUAAGCCCCGGCUAACUUCGUGCCAGCAGCCGCGGUAAUACGAAGGGGGCUAGCGUUGUUCGGAAUUACUGGGCGUAAAGCGUGCGCAGGCGGUCCUUCAAGUCAGGGGUGAAAGCCCAGAGCUCAACUCUGGAAUUGCCUUUGAAACUGUAGGACUUGAGUACGAGAGAGGUGAGUGGAAUUCCCAGUGUAGAGGUGAAAUUCGUAGAUAUUGGGAAGAACACCGGUGGCGAAGGCGGCUCACUGGCCCGUAACUGACGCUCAUGCACGACAGCGUGGGGAUCAAACAGGAUUAGAUACCCUGGUAGUCCACGCCGUAAACUAUGAACGCUAGCUGUUGGCAGGCUUGCCUGUCAGUAGCGCAGCUAACGCAUUAAGCGUUCCGCCUGGGGAGUA
rnacentral:rRNA from 1 species